GACGAACGCUGGCGGCGUGCUUAACACAUGCAAGUCGAACGGAAAGGCCCUGCUUUUGUGGGGUGCUCGAGUGGCGAACGGGUGAGUAACACGUGAGUAACCUGCCCUUGACUUUGGGAUAACUUCAGGAAACUGGGGCUAAUACCGGAUAGGAGCUCCUGCUGCAUGGUGGGGGUUGGAAAGUUUCGGCGGUUGGGGAUGGACUCGCGGCUUAUCAGCUUGUUGGUGGGGUAGUGGCUUACCAAGGCUUUGACGGGUAGCCGGCCUGAGAGGGUGACCGGCCACAUUGGGACUGAGAUAGGGCCAAGACCCCUACGGGAGGAAGCAGUGGGGAAUAUGGCCCAAGGGGCGGAAGCCUGAUGCAGCAACGCCGGGUGCGGGAUGACGGCCUUCGGGUGUUAAACCGCUUUCGCCUGUGACGAAGCGUGAGUGACGGUAAUGGGUAAAGAAGCACCGGCUAACUACGUG
rnacentral:rRNA from 1 species